UGGGGUAUAGCCAAGUGGUAAGGCAACGGGUUUUGGCCCUGUUAUUCGAAGGUUCGAAUCCUUCUACCUCAG
rnacentral:tRNA from 1 species